rnacentral:rRNA from 1 species
GGCGAUGAUGCAUAGCCGAGUUGAGAGACUGAUCGGCCACAAUGGAACUGAGACACGGUCCAUACUCCUACGGGAGGCAGCAGUAGGGAAUCUUCCACAAUGGGCGCAAGCCUGAUGGAGCAACACCGCGUGAGUGAAGAAGGGUUUCGGCUCGUAAAGCUCUGUUGUUGGAGAAGAACGUGCGUGAGAGUAACUGUUCACGCAGUGACGGUAUCCAACCAGAAAGUCACGGCUAACUACGUGCCAGCAGCCGCGGUAAUACGUAGGUGGCAAGCGUUAUCCGGAUUUAUUGGGCGUAAAGCGAGCGCAGGCGGUUGCUUAGGUCUGAUGUGAAAGCCUUCGGCUUAACCGAAGAAGUGCAUCGGAAACCGGGCAACUUGAGUGCAGAAGAGGACAGUGGAACUCCAUGUGUAGCGGUGGAAUGCGUAGAUAUAUGGAAGAACACCAGUGGCGAAGGCGGCUGUCUGGUCUGCAACUGACGCUGAGGCUCGAAAGCAUGGGUAGCGAACAGGAUUAGAUACCCUGGUAGUCCAUGCCGUAAACGAUGAGUGCUAGGUG